ensembl:lncRNA
GCUCAGUCCCUACGGCCGUCCACCCCUCCACACACUUUCCAUGCCAAACACCAGCCCUAGCUUAUUUUAUCUCUGCUUCACCCAGACCAGCUCUAAAACAAUGUCCCUCUGCCUCCUCCUCCCUUGCCCGAGCCGCGCAUGGAGCUUAAAAUGCUCCGUACACGUACAUACCCGUGCUGCUGGCUCUGAAGGACAUGGGUGGAGACCGAGGCGGGAAGAGGGAGGCACAGGGCGGGGAGAAGCCGCCUGUAGCUUCUCCCAGGCCUCGUUCAGGGCCACCCCCCCAGGGACCUCUGCUAUCUGCUACAUGGAAGCUCGCUCAACUUGCACGUUUGUUUGCGUGGGGCUGCAUACCACAGAUGUGAGUGAAGAGGGGACGAUUAUGUAGCAGUGUGACUGCAGGGCAGGCACUAGACUAAUACUAGUGGACUGGGAGAAGUCACUCUCCAGCGUUUCUUCUUUGCGGAUACGGUGAAGACCCUGUCUGAAAUAAGGUCUUAUCAUCUACCAACAGACAUGGUGAGGAAAUGGAGACCCAGAUUAUCUUCAAAGUGGUAAAACUAACGGAAGCUAAAACCAGAAUUUGAACUUAACGAUUUAGCUCCGGAUUCCACACCUUGAGUGUUGCUUUUCUGAAGCCCACGUGGUGCACCCGGGAAAAAGCCAACCUGCUUUCUGUGCAGCGUCCUGUGGCGGAAUCUCUCUCCCUCCCCUCUGUGGUCACCGACCACCCUGGGGCCCAGGCUUGAGCUCCAGCACCGAGACCAGAAUUGCCCCGGUGUCCCAUCUCCUCUCCCUCAGUUUGGACGGAAGCUUGGGGAAGCCUGUCCUAGUCCUCUACAGGGACUGAAGGCAUUGCUAACUGUCCUCAAAACAGGAAAGAAAAAUUAAGGAAGGGCUGCAGACUGACUGAAACCUGACCACUGGGAGAAACGUUCUGAGAGAAAAGCUGUUUUUCUCCAAGAGGGACUGGAUGGUUUUACUUUCAAUUAGAGUAACUUUCUCCUCUUAGCUUGGAGAAGGAAGGUGGAGCAGGAGGGAGGAUGGAGCCAGAGAAACAGAAAACAAGAAACCUAAAACACAAAUGGGGUUUCGAAAGAGGAGCAGCAUGUGAGACACACAAAAGGGGAUGUGGAGCGCGUUGCAGGCGGGCUGCUACCCUGAGCAGGAGCCAGGUAGCCAGCAGGGGUGUGGGGUGCACGCCUCCCUCACACCACAAGUGUGUUGAGUGCAUGGGGAGGCCACAUCGGGUGGGGAAGGAGAGGAACAGCGCAGCAGGCUACAAACAUGUUUUGGGGCUGGGGAAGUAUGAAUUCCAAGUCUGGCUCCUCUACUUACUUUGUAAAUUGAGCAAAUGCUAUUGGAAUUUCUAAACUUUAAGUUCUUCCACAUUUACAUGUUAAAAAUUAACUGCCCCAUGGAACAAUUCUAAGUAAUGUAUUCAUGUAUUAUAUUAGACAUCAUAGUAAGUAAUAUUGAAAGCAAAGGGAGAUUAUUACAUCCCCAGAACAUUCAAAGUGCUUCAUCCACCAGCUCUAUUUCAUACAACAAUUACACAAGGACCUAAGCUGAAGAGCAGAAUAUGCAGUCCUUACCACCGCACCUAAUGUGGAAGAGGAACUCCGUAAACAAGAAUAGUUACUGCUUAAAAUAUCACCUGUUUAUUUUACACUGUGGGGAAAUAAAGUUUCUUAAAUAGUGAUCUGAUUGCUCGAACUGUCUGGAAAAAGAAUGUAGCUGCCAAAAAAAUAUUUGUAUAGAAAGAAAAUAGCUUAAUUAACAAAUCAAAUAAUUAUAUUCUCACUAAAACUCAUAUUGAACUGCAGUAUGUUUUGACACAAAUUUGUCUAGAUUUUUUCAGAGAGAGAGAGAGACAGACACAGAGAGAAAGAGAUUCAAUUGCUCUUCAAAAUAGUAAGAUCACUGAACAACAGAAUUUUCUUCUCUUAGAUUUAUAAUUUGCCCUCUAAGUUAAGGAAGGACAAUAUGUUUUUAAUCUUGAUCUCAAUAAAAUGUAGAACCAUUAAGUGUGAACAGUGUAUUGAGCAAAUAGUUGCCUAGAUAUAUAAAAUUAGGAUGUAAAAAUAAAUCUUUUAUAGUUAAAAAAAUUUUUUGUUGUUGUUUUUUUGUUUUGGUACUGGGGAUCAAACUUGGGACCUUGUGCUUGUGAGGCAAGGCAGCAGCAACACUGAGCUAAGUUUCCAGCCCUUUAUAAAAAUUUUUAACAACAAAAACUAGGCAAAAUUCUUGAAAUUGUUCACAGAGCUUCUUUUUGUUGUUGUUUUUAUAUGAUGCACUAAAAAACUUAAACAAAGCCGUGGAUUUUUAAUUGUAUUUACUUCACUUUCUAAUUUUAUGUCUUCAUAGUUGUUCAGAAAUUUUCUGAAGUACAAAAUUAUCCCAAAUUCUGAUACCUUCAUAAGUCUUAUGCCUGCUUGUCAUGUGUCUUCCUUUCAUAUUCAGUUUCAGGUAUUUUACUCCAAGGUUUACUUGUGAGUUCUAGAAAUCAUCCAGAAAUCUUAGGGUUGUGUUUGGCCCUUCAGCUCCAUUUGGAAGCACUGUCCUCUGCCUGGUGAAAAUAUUUGUCAUGCUG